UGACCCUUAUUAAGCCGAGGGUCACCUAGCCAACUGACGUUGUUAGUGAAUAUUAUUGUUCACACGUAUAAGUCCCAGCCACACUGCUUUGUGGCUGGUUUUUUCUUU
rnacentral:sRNA from 1 species